rnacentral:rRNA from 1 species
CAGUCGCCACGGGAAAACAGAGGGUGCGAGCGUUAAUCGGAUUUACUGGGCGUAAAGCGUGCGUAGGCGGUUAUAUAAGACAGAUGUGAAAUCCCCGGGCUCAACCUGGGAACUGCAUUUGUGACUGUAUAGCUAGAGUACGGCAGAGGGGGAUGGAAUUCCGCGUGUAGCAGUGAAAUGCGUAGAUAUGCGGAGGAACACCGAUGGCGAAGGCAAUCCCCUGGGCCUGUACUGACGCUCAUGCACGAAAGCGUGGGGAGCAAACAGGAUUAGAUACCCCAGUAGUCCCUGUCUCUUAUAC